ACCCUCCAGUGCCCUUUCCCAUCAGAUCUGAAUUCUGGUCUCAGUGGUCAUAUUAAUAAAAGGUGAAAUAGUAGCACUGAAGCUGUGCUCAAGUAUCUGCUAUGUAGCAUGUGGGCUAAUUUCAAACAAGG
ensembl:snoRNA Small nucleolar RNA SNORA61